rnacentral:rRNA from 1 species
UACGUAGGGGGCUAGCGUUGUCCGGAUUUAUUGGGCGUAAAGAGCGUGUAGGCGGCCAGGUAGGUCUGGUGUGAAAACUCGAGGCUUAACCUCGAGAUGUCAUCGGAAACCAUCUGGCUAGAGUCCGGAAGAGGAGAGUGGAAUUCCUGGUGUAGCGGUGAAAUGCGCAGAUAUCAGGAAGAACACCAAUGGCGAAAAGCAGCUCUCUGGGACGGUACUGACGCUGAGACGCGAAAAGCGUGGGGAGCGAACAGG